CUUGAAGAAUAGACGUAGGUGUUGGGUUGACACUGAACCAUGAUAAAAUUUUCUGUUUAUGUAUGUGACUUUGUUUGCUUACUUUUUUGCAUUUACAUUUUAAUAUACCAACUCAUUGUUCUCAUUGGAUACACUCAUAUAGUGCACAUGCUUGUUUAUUUCCCCAAAAGAAUUUUAAAAACCCAAUUCACCCAUCCCCUAUUGGGUUGUGUCUCUGGACAACAAGUGGUAUCAGAGCAGGUUCUUUCAUUCACUUGUUUGUCUUGUGAUCAA
rnacentral:lncRNA from 1 species